GGAAUUGAGAAGAUAUAUAUCCAAAGAUUUUUGAAGGCUCUUUACUUGGCUCCAAUGUGGGAGAAUAUUUGGGGCAGCCUUCUCCAUGUCCUCUUCACAACUGAUGUAUUGAGGGAAAAACAGAACAUGGCCAUAAUUAUUGUUAUGGAAUAAGUGAGUUACACUAGUCAUGGAAGAAUGAAUUGAGGUCCUGUAAGUUCACUUACGUAUGCAUUAUAUCAUGACAGGAGAUAACAGCCAAGGCAAUACAUUUAUGAUAUGAAUGCUAUAUGU